CCCUAUAGCGCAAUGGAUAGCGCAUUGGACUUCUAAUCCAAAGGUCAAGGGUUCAAAUCCCCCUGGGAUGG
rnacentral:tRNA from 1 species